rnacentral:misc_RNA from 1 species
AGCAGCCGCGGUAAUUCCAGCUCCAAUAGCGUAUAUUAAAGUUGUUGCAGUUAAAAAGCUCGUAGUUGAAUUUCGGGAUCAAUAUGUUGGUCGUGCCUCGGUACGUACUAGCUUAUUGGUUUCUCCUUUCUGAAGAACCAUGAUGUCAUUUAUUUGGUGUCGUGGGGAAUCAGGACUGUUACUUUGGAAAAAUUAGAGUGUUUAAAGCAGGCUCACGCUUGAAUACAUUAGCAUGGAAUAAUGAAAUAGGACGUUUGAUUCUAUUUUGUUGGUUUCUAGGAUCGACGUAAUGAUUAAUAGGGAUAGUUGGGGGCAUUAGUAUUCAAUUGUCAGAGGUGAAAUUCUUGGAUUUAUUGAAGACUAACUACUGCGAAAGCAUUUGCCAAGGAUGUUUUCAUUAAUCAAGAACGAAAGUUAGGGGAUCGAAGACGAUCAGAUACCGUCGUAGUCUUAACCAUAAACUAUGGCGACUAGGGAUCGGAUGAUGUUAAUUUUUUAAU